rnacentral:piRNA from 1 species
UGGAAAUUUUAGCCCUACGUCAAAUCUAC